rnacentral:lncRNA from 1 species
UGAUUUUUAGCAAUAGCAACUGUGUAGCUUCAGACAAUUAUCUUAGACCUGUCAUAGAAGCUCUCUGCUUCUAUGGUCAUGAUUUAGUUAGCAGUCCACGAAUGAUGGGAACACACAAGAAUGGAGGUGUGAGGAGGGGUGGGAGACCUGAAACACAGCAUCCAUAAGGCAAGCCACACCCAAAGGCUGGAUGUAGAGCAAGUAAAAGGAGUUAUUUCAAACGUACUUGUAUACAGAGGGUAUAUAUAGCCAGACAUAUAGGUGUACAGACAAAUGGGUGGUCUGAUGUGAGCAGAGAACUUGGAGUGCAGUGUCUGCAGAGAACCCUGAGAAGGUGAUCAGGGCCUAGGCAGUGUUUCCCAGGAGUGUGCACAUGAUGGCAGCUGAGUGCCCCCACCAGGUAUCCUUAGACCCCAUGGCUGGCCGAACCAGAAGGCACUCAAGUUCUUGUCCUGCGUGCUGGUCUAGUGUUUCAGCGCCCUCUACUGAGGAAACUUCAUAUUGGGCUUACUGAAAGAAAGGCUUGAGGGAGUAAUGGUUGUUAAUGUACAGCUUGUGAGUACAUUGAGGACUGGAUGAAUGGCCAUCACUUUAUAACCAGCAUGCUAGGUCUAUGUGAAAAUAUGUUUUCCAAUAUUUUCAUUCCGUGAAUUUAGUAACAAAAUAGCAAAUGUAUAUGUAUUUUAAAAUCUUGAAUCCACUAUGUGACAUAGCAUGGAGGAGACAGAAGCAGGAGGAUCAACUUGAGUUUGAGGGCAGCCUGGGCUGGUUAGUGAGUUUUAGGCCAGCCUUAGCUACAGAGUAAGACCCUGUCUAGAAGCAAAGUCCCCAAACUCCAAAGUUUUAAUGUUUUAAAGAAAAGAUUGAUAUAUUUUUAUGUGCAUGGGUGUUUUGCCUACAUGUAUAUCUGUGUAAGGUGGUAGGGUAAGGCACUUGCUAUCAAGUCUGAUGAACUGAGUUCUAUUCCCAGGACCCACGUGAUGGGGAAGCAUCCAACUCCUGAGAGUUUUCUGUGGCUUCCACGUGGGUACACAACAUGCACGUACAACUGAUACUCAGUCAAAACAGUUUUAAAGAAAGAACAGCUGGACCAGGCCAGGGAAUUAGCUCAGUUAUUAGAGUGCUUGUCCAAAAUGCAUGAAGUCCUGGUCUCAAUCCUCAGUACUGCGUGAAGCAGGCAUGGCAGUGUAGGUCUAUAAUACCAUUAUCCAGGAUAUUUUGUGCCAACUUGAAACACCAUCUUUAUAGUAUGCUCAGUUCCCAGAUCUUUUCUGGACACUGCUCUCUUUCAUUGAUUUGUUGAGGUUUGUUUGUUUGUUUGUUUGUUUUGGGGGGUGUUGUUUAGGUUUUUGUUUUUGAGACAGGGUCUUACUGUGUAACUCUGACCCUAUGUAGACCAGGCUGACCUUGAAGUCUCAGUCCUGUGAUUAAAAGUUACACCACUGUACCUAACUUUUUAAAAGUGUAUUUCUAAAGGGGAGGGGUGGGCUGUGUGCAUGUGUAAGUGCAGGUGCCCUUAGCGCAGAAGAGGAAGUAAGGCCACUUGGAGCUAGAACUCCAGAUGCUGGCGAGCCGCAUGGGAUGGGGUUGGAUGGAAUUCGCGGACUCUGCAUGAGUAGUAUGAGCUGUCCUUCCAGCCCCUCACCUGUUUUCUCAUUCCUAUCUCAAAACAGUAGUUUAAAUUAACUUUAGUUUACAUGGCAUGUUUUAUAUACAUAGCAUAUGCAUGCAUGUAUGUAUGAAUGUGUGUGUGUGUUUUCUUAUGUUUUUUAAUCAUCUUAAAUACCUCCGUUAUUUUCUGUUUCCCAGAAUCCCUUUUCCAACCAUGAACUUUAGACUCAGUGCUUGCAUAUCUAUAAAGAAAUCAUCGGGAAGUAUUUUAUCAGAAUUAUUGUACAUUUGUGGGUCAUCUUAGAAUAUUUAUCCAUGUCUUUUGUAUUCUUGAGGGCAAUUUGGUAUGAUUUUAUUACUUUUUUCAUGAUUUUUAAAAAAGAUGUUUGUUUAUUUUAUGUACAUGUACAAUAUAGCUGUCUUCAGACAUACCUGAAGAGGGGAUUGGAUCCCAUUACAGAUAGUUGUGAGCCACCAUGUUUUUGCUGGGAAUUGAACUCAGGACCUCUGGACUCGCUGAACCAUCUCUUUAGCCCCAAUUCUCAUGAUUUUUAAGUAUCUUUAAGGCUUUGUUGUUAUCAUAACUAGAAUGUUGUUAAUUUUUAAAUAUUAAAAAUUUAUUUUGCUUAAGACAAGAUCUGUGUACCCUGGCUGGUCUGGAACAUGCUGUGUAGUCCACGCUGGCCUCAAACAGAUAUCCUCCUGCCUCUGCCCCUAAGUUCUGGGGUUAAAGGCAUGUGCUGCUAUACCUGGUAUUACCAGAAUCCUUUAAAAGUUAAAAUUUAUAAACCAGGUGUAAUAAGUAUAUUCUUUUAUCCCAGCACUUGGCAAAUUAAGCAAAUAGCUAUGAAUUAUAGGCUAGCCUGGGGUAUGUAGCAAGAAUCAGGGCAGCCAGUAAGAGCCUAUCUC